UAAGAAUUUUAGGGUAAACCAGAAGGUUGUGUUGUGUUUGCAGAUUGGCAGGCUAAAUUUUAAGUUUGAACUGUUCACUAUGUCUUUAUUACGUGCUAUCCGGCCUGCGCUUUCCCAAUACCGACGUGGCUUUAGUGAAGUUGCCGAAGUUGGAUGGAAAACAAGGAGCCGCGAAGAGUUUGCAAGAGCUUUUCCAAAGACUGCAGCGAAACAAGAUUACCACUUAAAGAUGUUAGCAGAGGCCAAGUUGCCAGUUCAUCGAAGUGGAAAGUUUGAUGACAUACUUAACAAAGGCCUCUAUGCAAUCCUGACUGGCAUGACUCUCAAUACCAUCGUUUGGUUCCUGAUGUUUAAGAAAUAAUAAGUUCAACUUUUAUCUAUUGUGUUCCAGUUUGAAAAAAAUCGUAUUUUGAAUAAAUUGUUGGAUUAAACUGUUAAAUGCGGAUU